AAAGAAAACAAUCGUAAAUACACUCAAUUCAAUAAUGAUUAACAAAAGAAGACCUUGGAUGUAGUCAUUAAAACACUGUAUGCCAGUUUUCUUUCACAUAAACUUUUAUAUCUCCAAUUGCUGGGAAAACAAUUUAAAAUGUCUUGUCCACAGAAUAUCCAUGUUUGCUAGUCUACCCUAUAACCUUUUAAUAAGCAUACAAAUCUUAAAGGUACACUGGAAAAUAAAUUAGAAGUGGACGGCAGACAGAAGCAUGCUGUUGGGCCCAUGGAAUUAGUUCAGUUAAUGGUUCAGCACUGAUGCGUGAAGAGCCUAGCCUAUCUUGGUUUUUGGUUCAGCCUUUAUUCUCCAGAAAAACCUAUUAGAGAGGCACAUGUGACAGUCCCUUAUCUCGCCGCCUUUCUAUUUUCGCAUAAUGUAGCGUUAAGAUUGGUAAGUGUUCUUGGAGUCUGUCCGAGGUGUUGAUUGCGUACCUGAUUCGUCACGGACGUGCUGUGUUUUUUUUACGCUCUAGCGCGGCACCUAAAACAGAGCCGAACACCUGACGUUUUGUAAUGGUUUCCCGUAACACGUCUCAGGGGCCAGUUGACGCAUCACAUGACCAAACAUCGCUGAGGCUUUUGUUUUUAAUCGGGGCAGAAAUUAAACAUUGUCACAUAAUGCACUCAUGAAGACGUGACAGACUUAAGUGUGACAGAUAUGCAGGAAUGCCAAGCUGCCUGGAGUGAAUGAUUUGCAAAAAUUAGAAGAUACAUUCCCUCAAAAUGAUGAUGGUAGUUAAAAGAAAGCUUUCAUCAUUUUUUGUGUAAAUUACAGUCUCACUCUUGAUCUCAAUAUUCCCCACGCUCUCUGCAUUCUUAGUAACUCAUUGAGUCCCUUAUAGCCUAUAAGCAUCCUGUGGCGAUAGGAGCUUGGCUUGAUCCCGCAUUGAGUCAUAGACUCUGCAGUCUAUGUGGCCAUUUCAGGGAAAAACACACACAAGUUACACAAGAAUCCCAAACAUUCCGGAAUAUCAUUGUUUCUCUUUAUCUUGUCAAACCAGUCACUGAAGUUAUCAUCUCUCCUCCGACUGCUUGCCUGUGCUUUUUGAGAUUCAGUGUCACAGCCUUUCACUGCAUUUUUAGCUAGAGAUGGUUUGCAUUGACGGACAGCUGAUUCUUUUGCAGAGAGGAACAGUUUCUUUCUCUAUUCUGUUGUUUUUGUAGAACAAUGCCCUUUGUCCCAGCCCCCCAGAAAAAGAUGCCUUGUUGCUUCCUGCUCGCAAAGUGUAUUGUAAAUGCCAUAAGGCGUUCAGCAUGGAUGGCCUGCAGCAUUAUGCUCAAGCUUUGAAUAACUGAGAUUAAAGGCAGCAUAUUUUUUCAGGCACCAGAAGAAGCAACACUCAGCUGGUCUGCUCACUGGGAAAAAGCCCUUAGCUUCAAUAUCAGCUGCAGAUCGGGUGUCACCUGUGGAGAGAAAAAGCUUCUCAUGUGUCAGAGUGCUCAGCCUUAUGACCUCCCGGAUGAGGUCAUUACAGCUUCCCAAGGAGGAGAACGAGCAGAAGGGACAGAGCCACUCUCCUUGAAAGAGAGAUGCUCAUCAUUCAGUUCCAGGCAGCGCAUCCCCACCCCCAACUGCUGUCUCAUCUGAAAGGUGCAGGUGGAGGCUGUACAUCAAGUCCCAUGUUUGCGUUUGCAAGCACAGAUCCGCCAUAUAAGCGCAGAUCAUGGAAGGGGGAGCUUGUCGCAGAGGGAAAAGGCCUUCGGUUAGGAUGGAGUGCUGACCUUUGUUGAUGGACUUGGACAGCUGAGAUCACUCAGUCUAAUCAUAUUGCUCCUAGCUUCCUGUCCAGCGCAGCACAGGCAGGGUGACGUCCCAACUUCAGAUCCAAAGCUAUUUGCUCUUUUAUUUUUUCCAGUUUUCCAUGCUGCCAAAAAUGGAUCGAGGUUCAAUCAGAUGACCAAAAUCACAGAGAACCUAAAUGUUUUAUAUUAUUGUAAAACUGUGAACACCUGUACUUUCCCAGUCAUUGAAUUUGGGAUACCUUUUAUAGAAAAAUAGAUAGAGAUAGCAGUCCACAAAAAAUAUCCAUAAUGCAGAAUGCGUCAUACUGUUAAUCACAGUGAGUAUCGACGUGAUUACGCAAGAUAAAUCUUUUGCACGAUUACGUCUUUAAUUUUAAGUUUGGGAUAAGAUUAAUGUCAUUCUCAAUUAUUAAUUUUUACAAUUAAUAUUUCUAUUUUGUUAACAGCUACAGUUUCAAUCAGCUUAAUACCAAAAUCGUAGUAUAACAAAUACUUCUACGGAUAUAAUAAAUAAAUUAAAUAACAAGUGAAAUGUGUGUACCUGUCCUGCAGGGGGCGUCUUGCUCUAAUAUACAUAGGACAUGAAAUUUGUCAUGCUAAUUUGGAUUACAUUAAUACGUUAUUUUUAUACUGUUCUGACUCCUAGAAAACCGAACUAUUAUUGUGCUUCUCCUAAUGCAAUUUUGUCCUUUAACUUUAGUUUGGUAAACACCAAUAA